ACUCAAAGGAAUUGACGGGGGCCCGCACAAGCGGCGGAGCAUGUGGAUUAAUUCGAUGCAACGCGAAGAACCUUACCUGGGUUUGACAUGCGCCAGACAUCCCUAGAGAUAGGGCUUCCUUUUAGGUUGGUGUACAGGUGGUGCAUGGCUGUCGUCAGCUCGUGUCGUGAGAUGUUGGGUUAAGUCCCGCAACGAGCGCAACCCUUGCCCUACGUUGCCAGCGGGUGAUGCCGGGGACUCGUAGGGGACUGCCGGGGUCAACUCGGAGGAAGGUGGGGAUGACGUCAAGUCAUCAUGCCCCUUAUGUCCAGGGCUUCACACAUGCUACAAUGGCCAGUACAGAGGGUUGCGAUGCCGUGAGGUGGAGCGAAUCCCGUAAAGCUGGUCUCAGUUCGGAUCGGGGUCUGCAACUCGGCCCCGUGAAGCCGGAGUCGCUAGUAAUCGCAGAUCAGCAGUGCUGCGGUGAAUACGUUCCCGGGCCUUGUACACACCGCCCGU
rnacentral:rRNA from 1 species